AGUGCACUACAUAGGGAACUAGGGUGCCAUUUGGGUCACACUAUGUCAACAAAUACAACAGGAUCGUGGGUUUUAUAGAAAACAGCUUCAUGACUUCCUCUGCUGGACAUGUUUUUAAAAACACAACAAAAACAUUAGUUCUCUGUACGGAAACACCGCUAAUAUAUCCCAAAACGCCUCCCACCCCGUCCCCAACCCAGCUCGCCGUCCCCCAGAUACAAAAAGACCAUACAACAUCCUGAAGCAGCCACAGUUAUCCAGUGCAGGUAGAAGGCCCUGAAACUACCAGGUACCACCUCGGUAUUAGGACCUAAACAGAGAGCAGGUAGCAGGUAGAAGCCUGAAACUACCAGGUACCACCUCGGUAUUAGGACCUAAACAGAGAGCAGGUAGAAGGCCCUGAAACUACCAGGUACCACCUCGGUAUUAGGACCUAAACAGAGAGCAGGUAGCAGGUAGAAGCCCUGAAACUACCAGGUACCACCUCGGUAUUAGGACCUAAACAGAGAGCAGGUAGAAGGCCUGAAACUACCAGGUACCACCUCGGUAUUAGGACCUAAACACAGAGAGCAGGUAGCAGGUAGA